rnacentral:rRNA from 1 species
AUUGAACGCUAGCGGGAUGCCUUACACAUGCAAGUCGAACGGAUUGGCGAACGGGUGAGUAAUGUAUCGGAACGUGCCCAGUAGCGGGGGAUAACUACGCGAAAGCGUAGCUAAUACCGCAUACUAUUGGAGCGGCCGAUAUCGGGUUAGCUUGUUGUUGGUGUAACGGCGCACCAAGGCGACGAUCCGUAGCUGGUUUGAGGGGACGACCAGCCACACUGGGACUGAGACACGGCCCAGACUCCUACGGGAGGCAGCAGGGGGGAAUUUUGUACAAUGGGGGAAACCCGGAUCCAGCCAUCCCGCGUGUGCGAUGAAGGCCUUCGGGUUGUAAAGCACUUUUGGCAGGAAAGCGGUACCUGCAGAAUAAGUACCGGCUAACUACGUGACAGCAUCCGCGGUAAUAC